GACAGAGGGGGCAAGCGUUGCUCGGAAUUACUGGGCGUAAAGGGCGCGUAGGCGGGAUGGCAAGUCGGUCGUGAAAUCCCUCGGCUCAACCGAGGAACGUCGAUCGAUACUGCUGUUCUUGAGGAUUGCAGAGGAGACUGGAAUUCCCGGUGUAGCGGUGAAAUGCGCAGAUAUCAGGAGGAACACCAAUUGCGAAGGCAGCUCGCUGGGACGUUACUGACGCUGGAGACGCGAAAGCGUGGGGAGCAAACAGG
rnacentral:rRNA from 1 species